AACUGGCCUCUAAUGUGAGAGAGGACCCCCCGGAUUUAUGCAUAU
rnacentral:rRNA from 1 species